UUCAUACUCCCUCCGUCCAAAAAUACUUGUCAUCAAAAUGGACAAAGAGGGAUGUAUCUUGAACUAAAAUACAUCUAGAUACAUCGCUUUUUAUUCAUUUUGAUAACAAGUAUUUCCAAACGAAGUGAGUAUAAA
rfam:Triticum urartu cultivar G1812 contig745617, whole genome shotgun sequence.